ACGCCGCGUGAGGGAUGACGGCCUUCGGGUUGUAAACCUCUUUCAGCAGGGACGAACCGAGAGUGACGGUACCUGCAGAAGAAGGACCGGCCAACUACGUGCCAGCAGCCGCGGUAAUACGUAGGGUCCGAGCGUUGUCCGGAAUUAUUGGGCGUAAAGGGCUCGUAGGCGGUUUGUCGCGUCGGGAGUGAAAACUCAGGGCUCAACCCUGAGCGUGCUUCCGAUACGGGCAAACUAGAGGUAUGCAGGGGAGAAUGGAAUUCCUGGUGUAGCGGUGGAAUGCGCAGAUAUCAGGAGGAACACCGGUGGCGAAGGCGGUUCUCUGGGCAUUACCUGACGCUGAGGAGCGAAAGCAUGGGGAGCGAACAGGAUUAGAUACCCUGGUAGUCCAUGCCGUAAACGUUGGGCGCUAGGUGUGGGGACCUUCCACGGUUUCCGUGCCGCAGCUAACGCAUUAAGCGCCCCGCCUGGGGAGUACGGCCGCAAGGCUAAAACUCAAAGGAAUUGACGGGG
rnacentral:rRNA from 1 species